GCCGGGUGUGGUGGUGCACACCUGUAUUCCCAGCUACUUGGGAGGCUGAGGUGGGAGAAUCGCUUGAGUGCAGGAGGUCGACGGUGCAGUGAGUCAUGAUCACGCCAUUGCACUCCAGCCUGGGCAACAGAGCAAGAUCCUGUCUCUA
rnacentral:sRNA from 1 species